AAGGGCCGAGUGCAACAUCGAUGGCUGCGUGAGUGCCUCGUGUGUACGCAGUCCGGGAAAUCUGAGUCAUUCAUAUUUCAUUCGUCAGUUUUGUCUGAUCCGUGGUGCAGAAAGGACAUGUGCUGGAUUGUGCUCGAACGCUCGCGACUUCUCAGAAAUAUCGUCCCACGGCAUGUUGAUCGCUUGCUUACCUCCCCAUGCGUGAUUCGUGGUGCCUGCUCGGAAGGUUCCUGUGUAACAUAAAUGUAACAAUGUAAAAAGAUUGUGAUGCCAUCAGAUAAAUCAUUACACGCUCUCUAGGUUGUGUGAGGUAGCGCCGUUAAAAAUAGAAUUCGUGAUGUGUAUACCUUUAUUUGUCCUUCAGUGUUCCACUAUUGCAUCUCAUAUAAAAUGGACUGAUAGUUAAUAACGCACACAUUUAGAUAGGUCAAUUAAAAUCAAUGACUUCAAUAAUUAUAUCAUUUUUAUCUAUGAAACUAUAUUAAAGAGUACGUAU